rfam:Larimichthys crocea isolate SSNF unplaced genomic scaffold scaffold646, whole genome shotgun sequence.
GGGGGUAUAGCUCAGUGGUAGAGCAUUUGACUGCAGAUCAAGAGGUCCCCGGUUCAAAUCCGGAUGCCCCCU